AGUUCCCAGACCUAUAAAUCAUUGCUUGCUUUUUUGUAGAUCUGACAGGCCACACUGGCAUGACAUUUUGCCUCUCAAAUUAAGCAUCUGGUUGUACUAUUCAGUGAAGUCUCUCCCUCAUAUCAUACAGGAUGUGAAGCAGUAUUAUAAAGAUUAUAAGGAAAUGAAAGUAAAAGAGAAGGAGGAGGCAGAGGCUCUGGCAGAACAGGAAAUGCAGCAGA